CCUACGGGAGGCAGCAGUGGGGAAUAUUGCACAAUGGGGGAAACCCUGAUGCAGCGACGCCGCGUGAGUGAAGAAGUAUUUCGGUACGUAAAGCUCUAUCAGCAGGGAAGAAAAUGACGGUACCUGACUAAGCAGCCCCGGCUAACUACGUCCCAGCAGCCGCGGUAAUACGUAGGGGGCAAGCGUUAUCCGGAUUUACUGGGUGUAAAGGGAGCGUAGACGGCAGCGCAAGUCUGGAGUGAAAUCCCAUGGCUUAACCAUGGAACUGCUUUGGAAACUGUGCAGCUAGAGUGCAGGAGAGGGAAGCGGAAUUCCUGGUGUAGGAGUGAAAUGCGUAGAUAUUAGGAGGAACACCAGUGGCGAAGGCGGCUUACUGGACUGUAACUGACGUUGAGGCGCGAAAGCGUGGGGAGCAAACAGGAUUAGAUACCCCUGUAGUC
rnacentral:rRNA from 1 species